rnacentral:rRNA from 1 species
GUUUACCAAAAACAUGGCUUCUUGAAAUAAAUAAAAUAGGGAGUCGGACCUGCCCAGUGAAAAUUUUAAACGGCCGCGGUACCCUGACCGUGCAAAGGUAGCAUAAUCAUUUGCCUUAUAAUUGAAGGCUAGCAUGAAUGGUUUGACAAGAAUAAAACUGUCUCUUUAUAAUUAAUUAGAAUUUUAUCUUAGGGUGAAGAAGCCCUAAUAAAAUUAAAAGACAAGAAGACCCUAUCGAGCUUUAAAAAAAUCUAUAGAAAUCAAUUAGUAAUUAAUUUAAAUAAAAUUGGCUAUUUGAAUAUUUUAGUUGGGGCGACUAAGGAACAAGUAAAGCUUCCUUUUAUAGCAGUAUAACAUAUAGGUAUUGACCCAAAAUUUUUGGUCAGAAAAAUUAGUUACCGUAGGGAUAACAGCAUUAUCUUUUUUGAGAGUUCUUAUCGAAAAGAAGGUUUGUGACCUCGAUGUUGGACCAGAAUAUCCCAAAGAUGCAGAAGUCUUUAAAGGUUGGUCUGUUCGACCAUUAAAAUUCUACGUGAUCUGAGUUCAGACCGG